AGCAAGAGAGAGAGAGAGAGCAAGAGAAAACAACUUCAAUUCAUCUUGAGUUUGAGCCAUUUGAGUGGAAAAAACAAGAUUAAAUCUUUCUUUGAGUACUUGGAAAGCUUGGUGUGCAAGAGGUUUACAAGAGGAGGUGGUGGAUAACUCUUAUAAGCAUCUUUGAGAGGUAUAUGGGCUGACCAUUACAUUUAUUUCUCUUAGUCUUGUCUAAGUUGAGUAGUAACUUGUAAUCUUGCUUGUGAUGCUUAAUUCAUGUGAUUUUGGAUGAUUGUAGUGAUGAAUUUUGAGUUAGGCUUUGAAUGGUUCACUUGAAAUUUCUAUUAUUUGGAUGGUAUAUGGUAUAUGCAAGCUUGUACAAGAGGUUGUGGUAGUGAUUUAAGCAAGAAAUGAAGAGAUUUCCCUUUGAAACCCUAAAUUCCAGAUUUCAGUUUUUCACUUCCCCUGUUCUGAUUGGUUUUGUUUGACUAGGUUGGAGGCCGAAUUAGGCUUAGCAUAAAACAUAAAAGUUGUAGAUAAUGAUGUUUUAUAGCUGCCUAUAAAAUUUCAGUUCAAUCCGAGCACUGUACCAUGUGAAAAGACAAAAAUACCCCUGACUGCCAUAGGUAGCACUUUAGGGACAGUUUUGACAUUUCACCAAUCUGACCUCGUCUGUUCACCCUGAUGCGUACUGACUUAGCGUUUGGUCAAAACAUAUAAGUUGUAGUGCUACGUCUUAGCUUUCCAACGCCCUUAAAAACGCCUCAAUCGGACUUCGGUAUCCUGAAUUAUUAUCGUUUAACCAUAGUGCGGUUCGCUAACCUGUUUGUGAGAUUCUGGUUUUGUACAUGAAAAUUUUGACCUAGCUACACUACGAACUGGACUGAGUAGUCUUCAUCAAAAUUGUAGGCCUUUGUCUUAGCUUCGAAACGGUAUGAAUUUCAUACCAAUCCGAUAAGCGUAGCUUAGGUUGUGUCUGUUCCGUAAAACAACGUCAAAUCUGUCUUUUGUUUCUUAAAUCAAACUUCAUUUCCGCACAUGUUCCUAACUUGGUUUGGUACUUGUAUGACGUUGAGUCUAUUGAACGGCUAUUGAAAUGAGAUUAUUUUGUGUGUGACUUUGGGACUAAUUGAGGAAAUGAAUGAAGUCAUAAAUGGCUGGAAAAUAAGUAAAUAUAAAGGGCGUGCUGCCCAAAUUUACGCUUGAAGACUAGGUAGAAACACUUGCGACUUGAGUAAGGCUUGAGAACGAAUACCACUUGAACCAUCUAAGAUAUUCGCGUCUUCUUUUAUCGAGGUAUAUAAGUUAGAACUUGACCGAACUUGUACCCUUGGGAAAAUGAAAUAACGACUACUAGAAAUACGUUUUCCUCAUUCUUUCAACUCAAAUGGUAUUUCCAAGUAUAAUUGCUACAAAAUGUCCCAGUUUGAAAAGCGAGUAAGUAUUUCACGAAUAUUCUCCAAACUAAUUUCAAUUACUUGAUUCUUAUUGAAUGAAACGUUGAAGUUUCGAACCUUAGUUGCUUUUCAAAGUUCUUAAACAAGGUUUUAUCGCAGAUUUGGACUCCAAACCCGAAGUACAACCCAAACGGGAUCACUGAGGCACUACAUUUUGGUGAGUGCUUCCAAAUAUCUAAUUGGACUUGACAUUUGUGUCCUAUAUUUGACCAAUAUGAUUAUAUGAUAUAGAUAUAAGUGAAUUGAUGGGGCAAUGGUGUACUUUAUCACAUUUGCCCUAAUGUUAUUUGUUCUCGUUCAUCAAUUGCAAUUGAAUUGCUAUACAUGCUUAUGAAUUGUAUCUUGCCUGGAAUUCCAGAAACCCUGUGACUAAUUUGUCGAGUCGAGCCGGCAAGGGUCUGGUCGAUUAGCUAACGAACCCUGGGUAGUUAGUGAUAUCGAGUGGAGUGUUAUCUUCUCGACUAAUCGGUAUACUCGAGUAUUACCACCAGUGUUUAUUGUGGAGUUCGGGCCCAGUAAGCGGUUUGAUCAGUGGACGGAUAAUGGAGUUAAGUGGUGUUCUACGGGACUAGUUUCUGACUUGAAAGUUGACAGAGUGUCAACUACCAAUCGAUCAAGCUAUGGUGGCGUCGAUAUAUGAGCAACUGUAUCCUUAUAUGUGAAAUGUGAAAAAUUUAGUGUUUGGCUAUAUGAAGUGUUGU
rnacentral:lncRNA from 1 species